rnacentral:rRNA from 1 species
AACGAACGCUGGCAGCAGGCUUAACACAUGCAAGUCGAACGCCCCGCAAGGGGAGUGGCAGACGGGUGAGUAACGCGUGGGAAUCUACCCAGAUCUUCGGAACAACUGAGGGAAACUUCAGCUAAUACCGGAUACGCCCUACGGGGGAAAGAUUUAUCGGAUCUGGAUGAGCCCGCGUUGGAUUAGCUAGUUGGUGGGGUAAUGGCCUACCAAGGCGACGAUCCAUAGCUGGUCUGAGAGGAUGAUCAGCCACACUGGGACUGAGACACGGCCCAGACUCCUACGGGAGGCAGCAGUGGGGAAUAUUGGACAAUGGGCGAAAGCCUGAUCCAGCCAUGCCGCGUGAGUGAUGAAGGCCUUAGGGUUGUAAAGCUCUUUCAGUAGGGAAGAUAAUGACGGUACCUACAGAAGAAGCCCCGGCUAACUUCGUGCCAGCCUCCGCCGUAAUAC